rnacentral:lncRNA from 1 species
AACGAGACGAUUGUUCAGCCUGACGUCAUAGCAAGCAAAUUUAAUGAAUUUUUUCUAUCUGUAUUUAACAGAACUACAUUAUCAUUUCGAGAAUCCAAUGCCUGAAAUAGAUAUCGACCAACAAGGAAUUCUUCGACUCUUACAAAAACUGGAUGUAGAGAAACCCUGUGGCCCUGAUCUUAUAUCAGAUGCAUUUUUGCAAAAACAUGCAGUUUGGACGUCAAAAUACUUAUACGUAAUUUACAGGCGAUCUUUAGAAGCUUCAGUGAUACCUGACGACUGGCGAAGGGCCAAAGUAAUACCUGUGCACAAAUCUGGCUCUAAACUCGACUUUCUUCCUCUGGGCUUAAGUGGGACGCUUCUCCAUCAUUGGUGCGAAAGUGCCUCCAGAACCUUCCGGGAUUAUUACGCCCGUCUCGUGCUUCUGAAAAGAGCUUGCGGUAUUGGCGUGAACA